UAGAGUUUGAUCCUGGCUCAGAGUGAACGCUGGCGGCGUGCUUAACACAUGCAAGUCGAACGAUGAAGCUCUAGCUUGCUAGAGUGGAUUAGUGGCGCACGGGUGAGUAAUGUAUAGCUAAUGUGCCCCUUAGAGGGGGAUAACAGUUGGAAACGACUGCUAAUACCCCAUACUCCUUCUUCCUAUAAGGGAAGUUGGGAAAGUUUUUUCGCUAAGGGAUCGGGCUAUAUGGUAUCAGCUUGUUGGUGAGGUAAUGGCUCACCAAGGCUAUGACGCCUAUCUGGUCUGAGAGGAUGAUCAGACACACUGGAACUGAGACACGGUCCAGACUCCUACGGGAGGCAGCAGUGGGGAAUAUUACACAAUGGAGGAAACUCUGAUGUAGCAACGCCGCGUGGAGGAUGACACAUUUCGGUGCGUAAACUCCUUUUAUAUGGGAAGAUAAUGACGGUACCAUAUGAAUAAGCACCGGCUAAGCUCCGUGCCAGCAGCCGCGGUA
rnacentral:rRNA from 1 species